GAUGAACGCUAGCUACAGGCUUAACACAUGCAAGUCGAGGGACCGGCGCACGGGAGAGUAACACGUAUCCAACCUGCCCUUUACUCGGGGAUAGCCUUUCGAAAGAAAGAUUAAUACCCGAUAUAAAGGAUGGGGAUGCGUUCCAUGAGGUUGUGGGGAAGGUAACGGCCCACCAAGCCUUCGAUGGUUAGGGGUUCGGAGAGGAAGUUCCCCUACAUUUGAAAUGAGACACGGUCCAAAACCCUACGGGGGGCAGCGGAAGGGAGUAUUGGUCAAUGGGCGUUAGCCUGAACCAGCCAAGUGUCGUGAAGGAGGAAGGCUUUUGGGUCGUAAACUUCUGUUAUAUAAGAAUAUGUAUUAUAUGAAUAAGGAUCGGCUAACUCCGUGCCAGCCGCCGCGGUAAUUC
rnacentral:rRNA from 1 species